CCUACGGGUGGCAGCAGUGAGGAAUAUUGGUCAAUGGCCGAGAGGCUGAACCAGCCAAGUCGCGUGAGGGAAGACGGCCCUACGGGUUGUAAACCUCUUUUGUCGGGGAGCAAAGCGAACCACGUGUGGCUCACUGCGAGUACCCGAAGAAAAAGCAUCGGCUAACUCCGUGCCAGCAGCCGCGGUAAUACGGAGGAUGCGAGCGUUAUCCGGAUUGAUUGGGUUUAAAGGGUGCGCAGGCGGAGGUGCAAGUCAGCGGUCAAAUUGCGGGGCUAAACCCCGGACUGCCGGUGAAACUGCAGCCCUUGAGUGCGCGAGAAGUAGGCGGAAUGCGUGGUGUAGCGGUGAAAUGCAUAGAUAUCACGCAGAACUCCGAUUGCGAAGGCAGCAUACCGGCGCGCAACUGACGCUCAUGCACGAAAGCGUGGGUAUCGAACAGGAUUAGAUACCCCUGUAGUC
rnacentral:rRNA from 1 species